rnacentral:rRNA from 1 species
UACGUAGCAGCGAGCGUUGUUCGGAGUUACUGGGCGUAAAGAGUGCGUAGGCGGUUUUCUAAGUUUGGUGUGAAAUCUCCCGGCUUAACUGGGAGGGUGCGCCGAAAACUGGAAGGCUUGAGUAUGGGAGAGGUAAGCGGAAUUCCUGGUGUAGCGGUGAAAUGCGUAGAUAUCAGGAGGAACGCCUGCGGUGUAGACGGCUUACUGGACCAUAACUGACGCUGAGGCACGAAAGCGUGGGUAGCAAACAGG